AACGCAUAUUGCGCUCUCUGGUAUUCCGGGGAGCAUGCCUGUUUGAGCGUCAUCAAAAAUCCUCAAAUCCUUCAUUAAGUUGAAGUGUAAUUUGGUUAUGAUCCUGCGAAAAUUUUUUUAAAAAUGUUUUUUGCUGGAUUGAAAGAAAUACUUUUUCAGGAACGUGAUAGAAACUUUUUAUUCGUUCAAUCUGGAAGAUUAUGAAAUCUAUAAUUUGAAUUAUUUUGACCUCAAAUCAGGUAGGACUACGCGCUGAACUUAA
rnacentral:misc_RNA from 1 species